AGCGAACGUUAGCGGCGCGCCUAACACAUGCAAGUCGCACGAGAAAGGGAGCAAUCCCCCGGUACAGUGGCGCACGGGUGAGUAACACGUAGAUGACCUUCCCUGGAGUGGUGGAUAACCCGCCGAAAGGCGGGCUAAUACAGCAUGGGACCACAUGGUUUUGACCGAGUGGUGAAAGCGGGCCUCUGUUCACAAGCUCGCGCUCUGGGAUGGGUCUGCGUCCCAUCAGCUAGUUGGUGGGGUAAUGGCUCACCAAGGCAUCGACGGGUAGCUGGUCUGAGAGGAUGACCAGCCACACUGGAACUGAGACACGGUCCAGACUCCUACGGGAGGCAGCAGUGGGGAAUCUUGCGCAAUGGGCGAAAGCCUGACGCAGCGACGCCGCGUGGGUGAUGAAGGCCUUCGGGUUGUAAAGCCCUGUGGGAGGAACGAACCGUACGGGGGCUAACACCCUCCGUACCUGACGGUACCUCCUUAGCAAGCAUCGGCUAACUCCGUG
rnacentral:rRNA from 1 species